AGUGAACGCUGGCGGUAGGCCUAACACAUGCAAGUCGAACGGCAGCACAGUAAGAGCUUGCUCUUACGGGUGGCGAGUGGCGGACGGGUGAGGAAUACAUCGGAAUCUACUUUUUCGUGGGGGAUAACGUAGGGAAACUUACGCUAAUACCGCAUACGGCCUACGGGUGAAAGCAGGGGAUCUUCGGACCUUGCGCGAUUGAAUGAGCCGAUGUCGGAUUAGCUAGUUGGCGGGGUAAAGGCCCACCAAGGCGACGAUCCGUAGCUGGUCUGAGAGGAUGAUCAGCCACACUGGAACUGAGACACGGUCCAGACUCCUACGGGAGGCAGCAGUGGGGAAUAUUGGACAAUGGGCGCAAGCCUGAUCCAGCCAUACCGCGUGGGUGAAGAAGGCCUUCGGAUUGUAAAGCCCUUUUGUUGGGAAAGAAAAGCAGCAGGUUAAUACCCCGCUGUUCUGACGGUACCCAAAGAAUAAGCACCGGCUAACUUCGUG
rnacentral:rRNA from 1 species